GACAGAGGGUGCAAACGUUGCUCGGAAUUACUGGGCGUAAAGCGCGUGUAGGCUGACCGGAAAGUCGGGCGUGAAAGCCCUGGGCUCAACCCAGGAACUGCACUCGAAACUCCCGGUCUAGAGUGGUGGAGAGGGAAGUGGAAUUCCUGGUGUAGAGGUGAAAUUCGUAGAUAUCAGGAGGAACACCAGUGGCGAAGGCGGCCAACUGGGCCGGACCUGACGCUGAGGCGCGAAGGCGUGGGGAGCGAACGGG
rnacentral:rRNA from 1 species